CCAUUUAUUUCAAGCCAGUUGAAGGAUCUGUUUUCAUAAUUGCAAACCUGGAUGAAUUGUUUCUAGAAGUUGAACCAUAGCUGAUGCCAGCAGAACCUAUGAACGCAUAAAAGCUUCAGUUUCUAAUGUCACUAUCAAGCCAAAAACAAUUACACCCAUUUGAAUUAUGGCAACCAAUAAACUUAGAUAAUCACCAUAUGCAACAUAACAUUUUGGCACUUGAACUAAAAACUCUUGUAGACAACUAUAGAUUGCUGCUAAUGUUGAGCGUUCUUGUCCUACCCAAGGCUGCCAAUAGAAAUGCCAAAGCUGCUGAAUACUGCUCAUCCUCGUAAUGUUGUCAGUGAAUGGCACAUUCACACAGCCCCCAAUCCUCUCUUCCCAGGCAUGGUCUUCUCCAGCUGCAGCUUAAUUUCCUGUGACUUGCCUAAUUACUGUAAUUAAGGAUUAAUUGCCAUUAAUUAUUCACACAUAAGCUCAUCGCAAAUCAUGGGGUAAAUGUCUUAUGAAAGCUGCCAUACAAGCCAUGUAUAAACACACUGGGAUGCUCCAGGCAGGAGAAUCUAUCACUCAGCCCUGAAGCAAAUCUCUGUGCUUCUCUUACAAAAACAGCUAUAACUCUCAGAAACUCGACAGUCUUUCCAGUUUAGGACAAGCAUUUGCUCGGAGGAGAAAUGUUUGCAGUUGCUGCUCCCCCACCCCGCUCGGCGGCGUGCGGCUGUUGCGGGGUUUGCAGCGCGGCGCCAUGUGACUGGGAUCAGCACGCCAGCAACAAAAACCAGCUCCAGAUCAGCUGCGGGACUGAGGUGGAAACCCCCGGUGUUUCCAUAUUCCAAGCUAGCAAAGCCAGCGUUUGCAUGCUGAGAGUGCUCAGCACUCAAAUAUCCGUUGAGAGGGCAGACUGUCCUGCAGCACAGGGCCAGGAAAAACACUGAGCCCAGCAAAAACAGUGGAUGUGACAGAGAACCAAAUCGGGAGCGCUAAUGAAGUGAGCCCAGCAUUACGCUAGCUGGCUUGAUGGUUCCCCUGCUUUAAUUUAUCUGCCUUCACCAUCCACUUUCAAAGCAAGCUGAAGGAAGAGGCAGGUCCUUUGUUAGUGUACCAACGUAGCGUGGGACAUCGGGAGCAUGGGACGCAGACUGGUGAUGGGUAAACAGCAGCGGGAGAGGGCACCCUUCCCAAAACCCUGCGCUGCUGUCAGCUUCUCCCAGCCCCUUUGAUACCGGGUUUAACACCGUAAGAAUUUGAUUUAGCACAAGGAACCGCAGUGGUGGUGCUGUGGGGUGCUGCGCAAAGAGUCAAGGAGAUACUACAUCAAUGCUAUGCGUUACCACCGAAACAGUGCCCCAGGAAAUUUAAGUAUAAGCAGGCAGAAUGUUGUUCUAAUUGUUAUGUUAGUACCUUCUGCAGCAAAUUAAUGCAUGAAACAUUUUCAUUUCGGUACAUAAGUUUGUGUGUGUCUGAGUUAAACAUUUAUGUUAAUGGACCUUCUG